GGAUGUGAGGGCGAUCUGGCUGUGACAACUGUCCCCAUUGAGUGCCAGGGUUGAUUCAGCUGAUCUGGACGGCUAGGUGGGUGCUCCCUUUCUCCCUCACCGCUCCAUGUAUGUCGCUCCCAAGCUGCAUGCUCAAAGAUGACAACCUUCCCCAAAGAGAGAAGGACUAGUCUUCAGUCAAGGGUAUACAAGUUGCUGUGCUCCCCUGCUAGAACCUCCAAACAAGUUUGCAACUCUGGUAACUAGAGCUGCAACUGACAAGUGCAAUCUACACUUUCUAGUAGUAAUACUGUGAUUUGU
rnacentral:snRNA from 1 species